GACGAACCGAGCGAACGUUGUUCGGAAUCACUGGGCUUAAAGGGCGCGUAGGCGGAUUCUCAAGUCCGGGGUGAAAUCCCACAGCUCAACUGUGGAACUGCCUCGGAUACUGGGAGUCUCGAGGGUGGCAGGGGUAUGCGGAACUAUCGGUGGAGCGGUGAAAUGCGUUGAUAUCGAUAGGAACUCCGGUGGCGAAGGCGGCAUACUGGACCCCUUCUGACGCUGAGGCGCGAAAGCCAGGGGAGCGAACGGG
rnacentral:rRNA from 1 species